AUCAGAUAUUGAUUUGGGUCAGUAAGGACAUGUUUAGCUGAGAUGGCGAUUCCUUGUCACAAAUGCUCCAUCUUCUUUGUUCUAAAUGACACAAACCACUACCUAACCUAUUAUUCCUCAAGCUUCCUUCCAAACGCUACCAUCCAUCUUUGGUUUGGACUUUUUACACACAUUUUCUUUCAAUCGAAACCCCUUUUCCCUAAAAUAUUCACCAACCCAACUCUCACUAGAGCCGCAUUAAACUCUUGCUAUUUGGAUUUGCUUUCAAGGCAGCUGAUUCUCCUCUGUAUGAUAAGACCAAAACAUUCUAAUCCUAUUAUAAGUACACAUUCUCCAGCAGUUGCAGCAGCUUAAACUCGACCGUCGUCAUCGACCCUUUUGAGCGUUAUGCAGAUGAGUAGGCAUAGUAGUGAGCCCGCCAUGGUUGGUACCUCCAUAGCUUUGUUACAAGAAAGGUUCAGGCAGUUGCAGAAAGAGAAGGUAAGGAGGGAGAAGGAGGUUGUUAAGCUGUUAUCCGGUUCAAAUAGCUUGUCAACCUCAAGAGACUUGGCCUUCAAUUCCCUCUCACUUGGCCUGAAUUUGGGUAAUGCGGGUAAGCAAGUUGAUAGCUAUGAAGGCAGGUUGAUGCCUGGUGACACCAAGUUGAUACCCAUUACGUUCAGAAGUUUUGAUACUCCAGAUGUUGAUGUUGAUGUUGAUACCACCCUUCAUCUAUAGUUUAUUUGCUUGCUUUUCUCCCCACUUGAGAAUGAAUAGUGUGUGAUGAACUGAUAUCUAUUGUGAUCAAUAUAUAUGUAUUCUAUUGAUGAUGGUCCGGACAUUUUGUAAGU